AUUGAACGCUGGCGGCAUGCCUUACACAUGCAAGUCGAACGGAAACGCGGGGCAACCUGGCGACGAGUGGCGAACGUGUGAGUAAGGGAUCGGAACGUGCGCAGUUGUGGGGGAUAACUGCCCGAAAGAGCAGCUAAUACCGCAGACGACCUGAGGGUGAACGCGGGGGAUCGCAAGACUACGGGCAGUUGGAGCGGCCGACUUCAGAUUAGCAGGGUGGGGGGGUAAAGGCUCACCAAGCCAACGAUCUGAAGCUGGUCUGACAGGACGACCAGCCACACUGGGACUGAGACACGGCCCAGACUCCUACGGGAGGCAGCAGUGGGGAAUUUUGGACAAUGGGGGCAACCCUGAUCCAGCCAUGCCGCGUGCGGGAAGAAGGCCUUCGGGUUGUAAACCGCUUUUGUCAGGGAAGAAAAGACUCCUGUUAAUACCGGGGGUUCAUGACGGUACCUGAAGAAUAAGCACCGGCUAACUACGUGCCAGCAGCCGCCGUAAAAC
rnacentral:rRNA from 1 species